GCUUUGAGAAUAUCAAAAGAAAAGAAAGGGUCACAGUACGUUUUUUCCGGCUAAAAUACAAAAUAGGAAAAUUCCAUACAGAAUCCUUCAGAAAAUGCACUUUUUUAGAGUUACCUCCCCUUAAAAUGCCAAUUUAAAAAAAAAAUAAAAACAACCAAAAAUAAUUAACAUUUGCAAAAAUAUCAAUAUUUAGAAGUUAUAUUCUUAUAAAUUGGUACUUUUAAAUGAAAAUGUACAUUAAACAUCUGCAUUCCUGCAUCACAUUUUGCUAACUUGACGGAAAAUCUGGACCUUUGAUUCUCUGUUUUUUACAAUCCAAGAUGGAGGAAGACACCCAUAC
rnacentral:lncRNA from 1 species